CAACUGGCAACGCGAGAGUGGCAACACUUCCUGUUCCUUGAUCUUUGGGCGCACUCGCCAUUUUGUCACAGUCGAGUAGGCGACCUACUUAAAGUCGGUGCCAGCUAGCGAGUAAACAGCAUCAUCAUCUGAGACGCUUUGAUAAGACGCUUAAGAUACAAACAUGAGUGGAUGUCGUGUCUUCAUUGGCCGCUUGAGCCCACAUGCCAGAGAAAGAGAUGUUGAGAAGUUUUUCAAGGGAUAUGGACGGAUCAGGGAAAUCAACUUAAAGAAUGGCUUUGGCUUCGUGGAAUUUGAUGACCACAGAGAUGCAGAUGAUGCUGUGUAUGAGUUGAAUGGCAAGGAAUUGUGCAGUGAAAGGGUAACUAUUGAACAUGCUCGCUCAAGAAGAGGAAGGGGUGGUGGUCCUGGAAUGGGCCGUUUCAGCAGCAGUAGCAGCAGCUACCGCCCGUCUCGCAGCAGUGGAUCACGAUAUGGCCCUCCUGUGCGUACUGAGCACAGACUCAUUGUAGAGAAUCUUUCUUCACGCAUUAGCUGGCAGCACCUACAGUGAUAUGGUUUGCUUUAAGUCAGAGGUGAAUGCACACACUCCAUGGAGAUGUCAAGUGUGUAGCGCCCUCUCCUGGUUGUUGUGUCUGAAUAGUGUCCAUUUGGUGCCUCUCCUUACACGCAGUUGCCGCCGGUCUAAAGUCUUGGCUGGGCCCCGUAGCGGGUGAAAGUGGUCUAGCGCAGGAUACGGUAGCCUUAGGAGGGCCGUAGCCACAAUCUGGAGGUUCUGUGGGCUGGCGUCCCCGACUGCUGUAACCCCCCUCAAAUCCACGGUCCCUACACUCUCCCAUUUGGGUCUUUUUCUGUUGCUGAUGGAGCUGGGGGGGGGUGUUGAGUUGGGCGCACACCCCUCCUCCUACUUGCUCUCUGGUGGUUCCUUACUUGUGGAGGCCGGAUGCUGGGUCAAGGCCGAGGUCGUUUCUCAAGGGCUUAACACUGCAUUGGUUCCCAUUUGCUAUUUGGACAAGUGGCUCUUUGCUAAUGUCUUCAUGUGUUUGGAGCGGUAAGUAGCAUAAAACUCAUGUGAUUGGGUUUGUUCAGGGUAUAGGGGUGUAGAGUUACAAUCUCAAAUCAGAAGGGUGGGGGGGCAGUUAAAUUUGUAGACUUUUUGCUUAAAAAUUAAAAAAAAAAAAAAAAGUUAAGAUUAAUGAGGAAAGCAAAAACUAAAUUGAAAGGUCUUAUCAGAACUUGUCCACUUAGUGUAGUAUGUUAUUUAAGAUGUACAAUCUAAUUUAGGCUUUUAUCUACAGUCACUAGAUAAAAUGUCACUGGUGAUAAAUUUGUUUUUUACUAAUGAGCUUAAAAACUGAAAACAUUAAUUGGGUAGAAAUCGUUUUUGACACCUACCCAGGCUCUCAGAGCAUUUUCAGUGGCUCUUUUUGUGUAACUCCUCAAUUUGAAGUGGAGACUUAUCAGUGACUGAAGUCACCAUUAGAUAAUCAUGUUUCUGUGUUUGCUAGUUUCUAGCUGUUUGCUUACUUCUAUCCCUCCAGGUCAGAAAAGGCUCUCACUGAAACUUCGUGUUUUGUUCAGUCUUACUGAUUCUGCAUUAUGUCUUGAAACAGGACCUGAAAGACCUGAUGAGAAAAGCAGGUGAAGUUACCUUUGUGGAUGCUCACAGACCCAAUAAAAAUGAAGGGGUGGUUGAGUUUGCGUCCCGCAGUGAUAUGAAGAAUGCAA